CCUCCAACUCCUGGGCUUGGGAUCCUCCACGUCAGCCUCCUAAAUAGCUAGGACUACAGGGGCUGCUGUGGCUUCUUGUGUUGCAUGGAAACAAAUGAAAAGCUUGAAAAACAAUUAAGGAAACACACUAAAACUGUUUUCUACUAAGAGGAUAUAUUCCAGGGAUUUCAAAGCAGUUACAGUUAUUUCCUUACUGGAAUUCAAAGCAUACGGUAAUUAUAGAAAUAAGUUAUCUGACUAUCAUCAGCCUUGUGGGCUUCGGUGGAACAAAGAAAAAGUUCUAGAAGUCAGCGUGAAACGCCUUAAGUUCCCUGCCUCCAGACUCUAUUCUCCUGUCUCAAUUCUACUCCCUACUUUUAUGAGCUCGACUACAUUUGAUGACACAGAAGACUUAAUUUCCUCCUCAUGAUUAUCUCUCAGUUGGAGAGUAUACCCACUCUUACGAAGAGUCCAGGAAGAAAGCCCUCAUCAGAUGCUGACAUCGUGAUCUUGGACUUCCCAGCCUCCAGACUGAUAAGAAAUAAAUUUCUGUUCUUUAUAAAUUACCCAGUCUCAGCUAUUCGGUUAUAGUUACAUAAAUGGACCAAGAGAGUCAGGGAGACAGCAUGGAACAGUUACGAAACUUUUGCAUCUGAGGCAGGCUCCUGUGCUCUGUCUACUCAUUUUUAUUUUUCCCGUUGUGAGUUUAUUACUUGGGUGUCCUAGAAUAAACCAUUUAAUAUCUUUGCACUGUGGCUUCAUAAUCUACAAAUGGGAAGAGUAGGUUAGACAACUUCUGAUCUCCUUUCUAGAUAUGACAUUCUAGGAUUCCAGAGAGUGGAAUACGGUAGGGUGGAUUUUUGUUUCCCUCUCCUAGAAUGGAUGAGAAAUCACUUAGGCAGAAAGCCCCUUUAUAGUGCUUUCCUCCCUCACAUUUCCUCUCAGACACUACUGGAGUAGAACAGAUAUUUAAUAGGUCCUUAUUGACUGAGUAAUGUUCCUUCUUAUGGUCAGGAGCCCUCAGAGACUUUUGUACAUAUUCUCAAUUUAGACUUCAGGGCAUUAAAGGAAGAGGCUUCAUUUUAUCAGUGACAUUCUUUUUAUUAUACAACUAAAA